GCGCCCUUAGCUCAGUUGGAUAGAGCAGGAGCCUUCUAAGCUUCAGGUCGGGGGUUCGAUUCCCUCAGGGCGCGCCA
rnacentral:tRNA from 1 species